AGCAGUGCGUGUUAUCACAGGGCCGGAGAGCUGCCUGCACAGGAUGUGUUGGGGAGCUGCAUAGAAACACAUGUGUGUGCGUGCAGCUUUUGGCGUGUGCACACCAGGCCCGGGAGAAUUUUCUAUGGCUUCGCAAACUGGAUUUCCAAGCGGGAGCCGGCCUGAGCACCCACCUCUUCCAUGUGCUACCCACGGCCCCAACCGGCCAGUGAGGUCCUGAGAAAUGUGGUCUGUGGCUGCUUCCGUUCUGCCCGGGGCUCUGUGGCCUGGAUGGUGGGCAGAGACCUGAACCGGGACAGAGAGGCGUCUCAGAGCCGUGCGGAGGAGCUCGGCCUCUCACCACCUUCCUGGGCGUCUUCUGAAUACUUCCGAGUGUAGGAGCAUCUUCUCCAACCGGCAAGUCAGUAGGUCUCCGAGAGGAAGGAGGACACAGGCCUCGGCCAGGCUUAGCGUUCAGCAUCCGUCCACGAAGCGCUGCCUCUGUGCCGUGCGCUGAGCUGGGCCCUCUCUCACUGAGUCCUCACGAUGGUCCUGCGAGGUUCUCCGGAAGCCCGACCUCCAAACGAGACAAGAGUUACGGUGUUUUAAUUUCUUGUUGCUCCUCAGCCCGGAGCUUUUGUGGAAGACGGAAUCUCGGGCCUGCCCAGCACAGCUUCUACGUUGGGAAGCUCUGUUCUCACCAGCGGGGGGAUGAUUCCGCACGCCCCGCCCGAGGCUGGGGAUGCACCUCACUCAAUCCCUGGGCAUUUCGCCGCAGCAUGAGACAGGCAACAAACAAUUCCACAGCCAUGCAAAUUGGCCUCGUUUAUGUAUUUGGAUGGGCUGUGAAAUAUUGGGUGUCAGAUGCGUUUUUGCAAAUCAGGUCUUGUUAGAAAAUCCACCAGAGGAAUUAGCCAGUGAAAACAAAACCGCCAGGGCAGAAAGGACGAUACGCAGGGGAGCCUGGUGUUAUGCUGCGGGAGCCUGGCGACUUCCCUUAGAAAGUUUGUUUUAUUGUAUGACAUGCAGUUAACCUGAAGCAUGGCCGCCCACCCAACAUGCUGGUGCCUGCUAGGACUUCACACUUAGGGAGCUGUGGGCUGUGCCAGGAGGCUGUGUCGGGCGGGCUACACGCUUGGCCCUAAGGCGUCCUCACCGCAGCCUCUGAGGGGGUGUCAUUUCUCUUCCCAGGUAGCGAGUGAGCCCAUGAAGGAAAGUACAGUAAGGUUGCCCUGGCCUGUGCAUUGCCUGUUGCCCAUCUCUUGUGUUCUGUAACCUUUUGCCUACUGUCUCCCACAGCCCCUCCUCCUCCCCCUCCUUCCAACUCUGUUUUCUUAGAUUCUGUAGGUCCACUUGGCGCCAGUUCAGCAAAUGUCAACUAUGCGUAUGGCGACAUUCUGUUGUGGACAUGGACAAAGAUGAAAGAGAGUUUAUUUGUUGUGAUGGAAUUCCAGACCCUGUUGUGGAGACUUGAAUUAUGUCAAAGUUGCAACCUAUGUUGUACUUUGAAUCAAAGCGGUCCCUUUCUUCUUUCCUCCCUCCCUAUCUCUCUCCCUCCAUCUCUUCCUGCCUCCCUCUCUUCCUUCAUUCUUUCCUUCUUUUCUUCUUCUGUCCUAGGAGCAAAGCCCAAAAGCCUGCUCUAAACAAUGUUGAUAAUCUGCCUGCAGGCAAAAGGCAAGUCAAAUAGCCCUUCUGAGCCUGGGGCUACUUCUGGAAGAGUUAGGUCCUGGUAGCUUUUCCACCACAAAAAUAAGAGCAGUUGUCUUGGAGGGAGAGAUUGGCCCGAGAGUAGGAAUCUGGGGUGCACAGGUGAGGCCCCCUCCCCACUCCAGGGGGCUGGAAAGUCCAGUAGGACGCAGGGGCUGGGAGGCAUCACUGGGGUGUCCAAGGCCCAGGGAGCUCACACGGCUUGCCCCACACGGCACGGCCAGGCAGGUGGCAGACCCCGAGCCGGCAGCACGGCAGGGUCUGGCGGGCGGCAUGCCCGACCUGAGCGAACCUGGCAGCGAACACGUGGGUAUCUGCAGGGAGAACUCUCACUCAGGGGCCCUGCAAGCCCCUGCCGUGUCCAGACCCUCCAGACCUGGAGAGAUCUUUUCGGAUGGGAGCAGGAAGUGUGCAUGGCUCUGCGAGAUCCCUCCGCUUCUGAAUGGCGGCGGUUCAUUCACGGACCACCACAUGCAUGGGUCAAACGUGGCCUGGGGGUUGCCGGCCUCCUUCUGAGACUAGGAAGGCAUUCUGAGUCGUGCAGGGGAGAGAAAUGAGGGCUCUUGAAGAUGACGCUGGGCCCUGUCAUUGAAGAGCUCUCAAACUAAGCUGCUGCUGUGCACAGCAGGACGGGAACCUCUCGGAGCUCCGUAGACGACCUGGGAAAUGCAGCACCUGGUGCGGUGGCUGUCCUGAGAACGGAGAGAGCAGACAUGACAACUCUCAGUAGCCGGACACGUGGUCUGUGGCGGGCCCAGGUCACCUCACUCAGCCUCACUCCUUCCACGUUCCCGCCAACCUCGGUGUCAACGGGGCGUGUGUAAGCCCCUGGGGAGUGUGAUGGUGUGGUUUCCACCACGCUUCUCAUUUUUAUCACAGCAGACGUGCACAUCUCAUUCCGGGGGUGGGGAGGUGGCUUCCCCGAAUCCCCUCAGGACACCCCGGGAGACCUCCCCUGGCCACACAAGAACCCCAACCAAUCCUGCCCCCCGAGAGUUGGCCUGGAAAACACGCACAGGCUUCCCUGGCCUCGUGCCCUGACCCUUGAAUGUAGUAAGCAGUUUGACAUGAAAAUAGAUGGCCUUUUUUGGUAAGUAGAUUUGAAGAGGUUUUCUUCGACAUCCAUUCUUACCUCUGACGUAAUGCUCGCCCAGUACUGGGCACGGGAUGCCUGCUAAAUACGUUUUGUAGAAGAGAAGUGUAUUGUUUUCCCCCGCAGCAAAAGCAAUUUAUGUCUGCAAUGGUCAGCUCGGGAACCGUAAGCAGGCUGGAUGGCAUGAGCUGGGAAGGGCAAUGGGUCUGCAUUUUAAUUAUUUUCCUCCAAAGAACUUACGUGAUAUACAAGGUCUACCUGGAAAAAGCGCAGCCAUUGUUAAUAUAACGAGAACGGUUUGCGUGGCAUUGAUGUAACCUGGCAGCCGAGGAGAGUGGACUGGAAUGCGCAUGCGUGAGCCACGAUGCCUUCCCUGUACACAUCAGUGGGGGUGGUAGACACUGUUGAGUGAGCAUGUGUGCUGUGUGGUGUCUCAUUCAAAAUGAUUGAGUGAGUAGAGCAAUGAACCUGCAUCAGAUUUUACCUUAAGCUUGAACAUUCCUCUGUGGAAACUACUCAGAUGAUUCAGAAGGCCAGAGCCGUGGGCAACUGGUGAUUGGCAGCUUCACCACGACAACGUACGUGCUCCUGCAUCACGUCUCAGGCAGAGGUUUUUGGUGAAACAUCACAUCACUCAGGUGACUCAGUCCCUCUACUGCCCAGAUUUGGUGCCCUGUGACUCCUGGCUUUUCCCCAAACUAAAAUCACCUGUGAAAGGGAAGAGAUUUCAGACUAUCAGUGAGAUUCAGAAAAAUACGACAGGACAGCUGAUGGCGACUGGGAGAACCGUGGGAGGUCCCAACGUGCCUGCUUUGAAGGACUGAGACAUCCUUGUCCUAUGUACAGUGUUUCUUGUAUCUUGUAUCUUCUUCAAUAAAUGUCUCUAUU